UUGGGUGAAGGGAGCGUGGCGGGGAUGCGGUGCGGGGAAGGGUGGCGCAGGCAAGGGAGGGCAGAGGGGGCGGACAGAGGAGGGUAGCUCGGAGGGUGGGUCGGACACUGGUGAGGAAGAGGUCCUAGCCGCUGGCGCUGGGGAGGAGUCCAGCUCGGAGGACACGGGCAAAUAUAGUGAAGCUAGCAGCAGCAACAGUGGCAGUGGCAGCAGCGGCAGUGGUGGAAGCGAGCAGUAACAUGGCAGCAGUGAUGAGCGAUUGGGGGUGCACACACCAGGUUGGCCCCAGGCAGGAUGGGACAGACCAAUCCCAAUAGGUGCCGGUACAUGUCAUGCAUCGG
rnacentral:lncRNA from 1 species